rnacentral:rRNA from 1 species
UGUAAGCGUAUACCAAAGUUGUUGCAGUUAAAACGCUCGUAGUCGGAAUUUGGCAGUUCCGGAAGUGUGCACGUCGUGUGCGCACUUUGCGGGGACUGCUUUUGUGGUCUUGCGUAGGAUGAGGCACUUUCAUUAGUGAACGUCCUCACGCAACCACUCUUUACUGUGAGAAAAUCAGAGUGCUCAAAGCAGGCAUUUGCCGUGAAUGUAUUAGCAUGGAAUAAUAGAGUAGGACUCGGUUCUAUUUUGUUGGUUUGUUGGGACUGAGUAAUGAUUAAGAGGGACAGUUGGGGGCAUUUGUAUUCCGGCGCUAGAGGUGAAAUUCUUAGAUUGCCGGAAGACGAACUGCUGCGAAAGCGUCUGCCAAGGAUGUUUUCAUUGA